UACGAAGGGGGCUAGCGUUGCUCGGAAUCACUGGGCGUAAAGCGUGCGCAGGCGGUUGUGCAAGACAGGUGUGAAAUCCCCGGGCUCAACCCGGGAACUGCGUCCGAUACUGGGUGGCUUGAAUUCGGGAGAGGGAUGCGGAAUUCCAGGUGUAGCGGUGAAAUGCGUAGAUAUCUGGAGGAACACCGGUGGCGAAGGCGGCAUCCUGGACCGACAUUGACGCUGGACGG
rnacentral:rRNA from 1 species